UACAUGGGGUGCAAACGUUGCUCGGAAUUAUUGGGCGUAAAGCGCACGUAGGCGGUUUGUUAAGUCGGAUGUGAAAUCCCUCGGCUCAACUGAGGAAGUGCAUCCGAAACUGGCAAGCUUGAGUACGAAAGAGGAUCGCGGAAUUCCCGGUGUAGAGGUGAAAUUCGUAGAUAUCGGGAGGAACACCGGUGGCGAAGGCGGGUCUCUGGGCCGAUACUGACGCUGAGGAGCGAAAGCGUGGGGAGCAAACAGG
rnacentral:rRNA from 1 species